rnacentral:rRNA from 1 species
GACGUAGGGCGCAAGCGUUGUCCGGAUUUAUUGGGCGUAAAGAGCUCGUAGGCGGUUCGGCAAGUCGGAUGUGAAAUCUCCACGCUCAACGUGGAGGGGCCGUUCGAUACUGUCGUGACUCGAGUCCGGUAGGGGAGUGUGGAAUUCCCGGUGUAGCGGUGAAAUGCGCAGAGAUCGGGAGGAACACCCGUAGCGAAGGCGGCACUCUGGGCCGGUACUGACGCUGAGGAGCGAAAGCGUGGGGAGCAAACAGG